CCCUUAGAUGUUCUGGGCCGCACGCGCGCUACACUGACGAAUGCAACGAGCUUAUAACCUUGGCCGAAAGGUCUGGGUAAUCUCCAAAUUUCGUCGUGAUGGGGAUAGAUUAUUGCAAUUAUUAAUCUUCAACGAGGAAUGCCUAGUAAGCGCAAGUCAUCAGCUUGCGUUGAUUACGUCCCUGCCCUUUGUACACACCGCCCGUCGCUCCUACCGAUUGAAUGGUCCGGUGAAGCGUUCGGACCGUGGCCUUUGGACGGUUCGCCGUCUGUUGGCUGCGGGAAGUUCGUUAAACCUUAUCAUUUAGAGGAAGGAGAANUCGUANC
rnacentral:rRNA from 1 species